rnacentral:rRNA from 1 species
GAUCAUGGCUCAGGAUGAACGCUAGCUACAGGCUUAACACAUGCAAGUCGAGGGGAAACGACAUCGAAAGCUUGCUUUUGAUGGGCGUCGACCGGCGCACGGGUGAGUAACGCGUAUCCAACCUGCCCAUCACUUGGGAAUAACCUUGCGAAAGUAAGACUAAUGCCCAAUGAUAUCCCACGAAGGCAUCCGAAUGGGAUUAAAGAUUUAUCGGUGUACGAUGGGGAUGCGUUCCAUUAGG